CACGUAGGGCGCAAGCGUUGUCCGGAAUUAUUGGGCGUAAAGAGCUCGUAGGUGGUUUGUUACGUCUGCUGUGAAAUCCUAGGGCUUAACCCUGGGCUUGCAGUGGAUACGGGCAGACUAGAGGUAGGUAGGGGAGAAUGGAAUUCCUGGUGUAGCGGUGAAAUGCGCAGAUAUCAGGAGGAACACCGGUGGCGAAGGCGGGUCUCUGGGCCGAUACUG
rnacentral:rRNA from 1 species